CUGGCUCAGAACGAACGCUGGCGGCGUGUCUUAAGCAUGCAAGUCGUGCGGCAAGGCGGGGCAACCCGCCCUAGAGCGGCGGACUGGUGAGUAACGCGUGGGUGAUCUGCCCUUGGGGAUGGGGAUAGCCAUUUAGAAAUAGUGGGUAAUACCGAAUACGUUCACUACUUCGGUGUAGUGAAGAAAAGCGCUUCGGCGCUGCCCGAGGAUGAGCCCGCGUCCAAUUAGCUAGUUGGUGAGGUAACGGCCCACCAAGGCGAUGAUUGGUAGCCGGCCUGAGAGGGUGUACGGCCACACUGGGACUGAGAUACGGCCCAGACUCCUACGGGAGGCAGCAGCUAAGAAUAUUCCGCAAUGGACGAAAGUCUGACGGAGCGACGCCGCGUGGGAAUGAUGAAGGCCGAAAGGUUGUAAAGUCCUUUUGUUGGGGAAGAAUAACCAUGGGAGGGAAUGCCCGUGGGAUGACAUGAACCGACGAAUAAGCCCCGGCUAACUACGUGCCAGCAGCAGC
rnacentral:rRNA from 1 species